rnacentral:rRNA from 1 species
GACGAACGCUGGCGGCGUGCCUAAUCCAUGCAAGUCGAGCGAAGCGGCGGAUGGGUGACUAACGCGUGGGUUACCUGCCCUUAAGUCUGGGAUACCAUUUGGAAACAUAUUCUAAUACAGGAUACUCAACGAUGGACUUGCGAUGCAUUAGCUCGUUGGUAAGGUAACGGCUUACCAAGGCGAUGAUGCAUAGCCGGUUUGAGGGACUGAUUGGCCACAUUGGGACUGAGACACGGCCCAAACUCCUACGGGAGGCAGCAGUAGGGAAUCUUCCACAAUGGACGAAAGUCUGAUGGAGCAACGCAGCGUGAGUGAAGAAGGUUUUCGGAUCGUAAAGCUCUGUUGUUGGUGAAGCGGUAAUCAACCAGAAAGUCACGGCUAACUACGUGCCAGCAGCCGCGGUAAUUC